rnacentral:rRNA from 1 species
AUGGCGGCCGAGGAAGGCGAGAAGAAGAUGAUCACGCUCAAGAGCUCGGACGGUGAGGAAUUUCAGGUCGAGGAGGCGGUCGCCAUGGAGUCGCAGACCAUCCGCCACAUGAUCGAGGACGACUGCGCCGACAACGGCAUCCCGCUCCCCAACGUCGACUCCAAGAUCCUCUCCAAGGUCAUCGAGUACUGCAAGAAGCACGUCCAGGCCAGCCCCAAACCGGCCGACUCCGGCGCCGCCGCCGACGCCAGCUCCUCCACCUCUACUGCAGCCGCCGCCCCUGCCGAGGACCUCAAGAGCUUUGAUGCCGAGUUCGUCAAGGUCGACCAGGCCACCCUCUUCGACCUCAUCCUGGCUGCAAACUACCUCAACAUCAAGGAAUUGCUCGACCUUACUUGCCAGACAGUUGCAGACAUGAUCAAGGGAAAGACUCCGGAGGAGAUCCGCAAGACUUUUAACAUCAAGAAUGACUUCACACCCGAGGAGGAGGCGGAGAUCCGCAGGGAGAACCAGUGGGCUUUUGAGUAG